AGAGUUUGAUCAUGGCUCAGAUUGAACGCUGGCGGCAGGCUUAACACAUGCAAGUCGAACGGUAACAGGAGAAAGCUUGCUUUCUUGCUGACGAGUGGCGGACGGGUGAGUAAUGCUUGGGAAUCUGGCUUAUGGAGGGGGAUAACGACGGGAAACUGUCGCUAAUACCGCGUAGUGUCGAGAGACGAAAGUGCGGGACCGCAAGGCCGCAUGCCAUGAGAUGAGCCCAAGUGGGAUUAGGUAGUUGGUGGGGUAAAGGCCUACCAAGCCGACGAUCUCUAGCUGGUCUGAGAGGAUGACCAGCCACACCGGGACUGAGACACGGCCCGGACUCCUACGGGAGGCAGCAGUGGGGAAUAUUGCGCAAUGGGGGCAACCCUGACGCAGCCAUGCCGCGUGAAUGAAGAAGGCCUUCGGGUUGUAAAGUUCUUUCGGUGACGAGGAAGGUUGUUGUGUUAAUAGCGCAACAAAUUGACGUUAAUCACAGAAGAAGCACCGGCUAACUCCGUGCCAGCAGCCGCGGUAAUACGGAGGGUGCGAGCGUUAAUCGGAAUAACUGGGCGUAAAGGGCACGCAGGCGGCUAUUUAAGUGAGGUGUGAAAUCCCCGGGCUUAACCUGGGAAUUGCAUUUCAGACUGGGUAGCUAGAGUACUUUAGGGAGGGGUAGAAUUCCACGUGUAGCGGUGAAAUGCGUAGAGAUGUGGAGGAAUACCGAAGGCGAAGGCAGCCCCUUGGGAAUGUACUGACGCUCAUGUGCGAAAGCGUGGGGAGCAAACAGGAUUAGAUACCCUGGUAGUCCACGCCCUAAACGA
rnacentral:rRNA from 1 species